AGCGAACGCUGGCGGCAGGCCUAACACAUGCAAGUCGAACGAAGUCUUCGGACUUAGUGGCGGACGGGUGAGUAACACGUGGGAACGUGCCUUUAGGUUCGGAAUAACCCAGGGAAACUUGUGCUAAUACCGAAUGUGCCCUUCGGGGGAAAGAUUUAUCGCCUUUAGAGCGGCCCGCGUCUGAUUAGCUUGUUGGUGAGGUAAUGGCUCACCAAGGCGACGAUCAGUAGCUGGUCUGAGAGGAUGACCAGCCACAUUGGGACUGAGACACGGCCCAAACUCCUACGGGAGGCAGCAGUGGGGAAUCUUGCGCAAUGGGCGAAAGCCUGACGCAGCCAUGCCGCGUGGAUGAUGAAGGUCUUAGGAUUGUAAAAUCCUUUCACCGGUGAAGAUAAUGACUGUAGCCGGAGAAGAAGCCCCGGCUAACUUCGUGCCAGCCGCCGCCGUAAUAC
rnacentral:rRNA from 1 species